rnacentral:rRNA from 1 species
AGUGCACGCUGGCGGCGUGCCUAAUACAUGCAAGUCGAACGGAGUGGCGCACGGGUGAGUAAUAUAUAGCUACAUUGCCCAUUACUAAGGGACAAACGUUGGACACAACUGCUAAUACCUUAUAGUAAUGGAUAGGUCUAUAUCGUAUCAGCUAGGUGGUAAGGUAACGGCGUAACAAGGCUAGACCGCGUAACUGGUUUGAUAGGAUGAUCAGUCACACGGGAAGUGAGACACGGUCCAGACGCCUACGGGAGGCAGCAGGAGGGAAUAUUGCUCAAGGGGGGAAACUCUGAGGCAGCAGCGCCGCGUGGAGGAUGACACUUUUCGGAGAGUAAACUCCUUUUCUUGGGAAAGCGGUACCCAAGGAAUAAGCACCGGCUAACUCCGUGCCAGCAGCCGCGGUAAUAC